rnacentral:rRNA from 1 species
GACGAACGCUGGCGGCGUGCUUAGCACAUGCAAGUCGAACGGAAAGGCCCCUUCGGGGGUACUCGAGUGGCGAACGGGUGAGUAACACGUGGGCAACCUGCCCUCAGCUUCGGGAUAACACUUGGAAACAGGUGCUAAUACCGGAUAAUAACUUGUCAUCGCAUGGUGGUGGGUUCAAAGUUUUUCGGCUGAGGAUGGGCCCGCGGCCUAUCAGCUUGUUGGUGGGGUAAUGGCCUACCAAGGCGACGACGGGUAGCCGGCCUGAGAGGGCGACCGGCCACACUGGGACUGAGACACGGCCCAGACUCCUACGGGAGGCAGCAGUGGGGAAUCUUGCGCAAUGGGCGAAAGCCUGACGCAGCAACGCCGCGUGUGUGAUGAAGGUCUUCGGAUCGUAAAGCACUGUCGCGAGGGAAGAGAUGCUCGCAGCUAACAUCUGCGAGCGGGAGAC